rfam:Chryseobacterium sp. SCN 40-13 ABS44_C0048, whole genome shotgun sequence.
CAAGCGGAAACCGAAAAGCUAAUAAGAGUAGGUA